rnacentral:lncRNA from 1 species
AAAGAGGGAAAGAAGUUGGGCUCUGACCACCUAAAAAGACUGAAUAAUCUUCUGGAGAAGAUCAGUUUCCUCGAGUUCUGUACAUGAGGGAAGGCACUUGGAUCCAGCCGCCUAAAAUACUAACUGAACAAUCUUCCCCAAAGACGAGGUGCCUCAAGUUUCGAGUCGCCUUUAUCGAGUAGUGGAUGGAAGCGGAAGGGGAAGGGGGAGGGGAAGAGAGAGGGGGAGUAUCGCUUCAUGAGACAAUGGUGAUGUUACUGCACUUAAAAUCUCUUCCCUCUCCCUUUCAGGAACAAAUACUUGUCGCUCUUCCUUAGGUAAUGGAUCAUAGACGAAGGAUAGAUCCCUAUUAGCUGAGAGAGCAAGUAGCUCCUUCUCCUCCAGCCCUUUGGUGGGACACAAGCUGCAACGAUCCGGACUGUGCUUCGCCAGAGCAUCUUUAAAUUUCUUGAUCUGUCAUGAUAUCAUCAACAUCACUAUGAGUAUGGUUUCAGAGUAAGAUUGCGCAAAGAAAAAGAAAUAACGUGUGAACACAAGGCCACAUAGCCGGGGCAAGCAUUACUAAGAACUUAACAUCGUUGCAGGACUUGUAAACUCUCAGCUUCAACCCAUAUAUCAGGUAAGUAAAGAAAAGUAACAAACAGGGGAACAAAGGUAUAAGACUCACCGUGGCAUUGGUACAACUAAAACUGCACAGACGACCAUGAGCACCUCUAUAAAAGCGGAAGAAGGGAAGGACAUGGAUAUUAAGAGCAUAGCACAUAGCCUUGUGCUCAUCAUAAUUAACCUGCAGGAACUGCACGUGCGGAUUCAUCUCCGCCAAUUGACAUAUCUGUGGUUCCAAAAACACAACCCUGAUUGAUUAUUAACAAACAUACCUCUAGACAAAAUGAUGAUCAAUUGAUUUUGUCUUCAAUCAAAACAUCAGUCAAAAUUCAACAAGCACAAGCCUAAAAUGUUUGGUUGUACCUUGGGAUGAAGAGCUUUGCAACCUCCACAGCCGGGGGAAAAGAAAUCAACUACAACAAGUUUAUCCCCAGCAUGCAAAAGGGAGUCAACCAGGUCUUGGGCACCAGUCACCUCUUUCAUAUUAGGUAGAACCCCUUUCUCCCACCACUUCUGAGCUUUCCCAAUUGCAAAGCCCACCUGUAUACACACACAAUUCAAAGGUUAGAAUUAUCCUUAAGAUUUAUGCACCAAUAACAAACCAGAAUGCUACAACCUAAGAGCCAAAUCAAUCAUGGAACCUGAAAAUUGAAAUCAAACCAUCGGAAACAUAUUCACAAAUUAAUUAACCAGGGAAACAGAAAGACUAUAUUUUUGCAUAGGUAUGAAAACUUCUGUUAGGACAGUUGUAGGGAUAUAACUUAAAUAAAUAAAGCAGCAACACAACCAUCCACAAGUUUAUUCGUAUAAAAUGCAAUCGUUUAAUUUGUCAAGUUAAAUUUUAAUUGACCUGGAGAAAGAAAAAGGAAUUCUCCUUUCAAGCAAAAAUAUGUUCAGACGGAAAUGAUCAAUCUUUCAUAAGGCAGGCAAAAUUCAACUCUUUGAAAAAAGGUAUAGAAACGCUGCUUCAGAUCAGGUGGGGGUGGUGUGGUGAAACGCAAUGAAGAGAGCUGGCUUUCUGCUCAGAUUUUGUGAAUUGAAUCGAUAUAAUAAUGCCAAACCCCAUCAUAUUUUGUAGUAUCUAACAUGGAUGGUGUCAAUUUAAUAAAAUAAAAAGAAACGGGCAAAUACACCACAAAUUCAAUUUCAAAUCUGCACUACAUAAUUGAAAUAAUUGAAGAGUAUUGAGGACAAAUAACAAACGUGGGCAUUAGGAGGCGGUGGUCGAGGAUUUCGUCUGAUGGCUCCGAUGUUUCCACGGGCGAAAAAUUCGGCGCUUGCAAUAAUAAGGUUUAAACAUCUACAUGCCUUGCAUAUAGCAUUUUCGUUUGUUUAUCGCCCUUCACCAACAUAAUUUACACUAGAAGAUAACAUACAUCUGCACAAAGAGGGAAAGAAGUUGGGCUCUGACCACCUAAAAAGACUGAAUAAUCUUCUGGAGAAGAUCAGUUUCCUCGAGUUCUGUACAUGAGGGAAGGCACUUGGAUCCAGCCGCCUAAAAUACUAACUGAACAAUCUUCCCCAAAGACGAGGUGCCUCAAGUUUCGAGUCGCCUUUAUCGAGUAGUGGAUGGAAGCGGAAGGGGAAGGGGGAGGGGAAGAGAGAGGGGGAGUAUCGCUUCAUGAGACAAUGGUGAUGUUACUGCACUUAAAAUCUCUUCCCUCUCCCUUUCAGGAACAAAUACUUGUCCCUCUUCCUUAGGUAAUGGAUCAUAGACGAAGGAUAGAUCCCUAUUAGCUGAGAGAGCAAGUAGCUCCUUCUCCUCCAGCCCUUUGGUGGGACACAAGCUGCAACGAUCCGGACUGUGCUUCGCCAGAGCAUCUUUAAAUUUCUUGAUCUGUCAUGAUAUCAUCAACAUCACUAUGAGUAUGGUUUCAGAGUAAGAUUGCGCAAAGAAAAAGAAAUAACGUGUGAACACAAGGCCACAUAGCCGGGGCAAGCAUUACUAAGAACUUAACAUCGUUGCAGGACUUGUAAACUCUCAGCUUCAACCCAUAUAUCAGGUAAGUAAAGAAAAGUAACAAACAGGGGAACAAAGGUAUAAGACUCACCGUGGCAUUGGUACAACUAAAACUGCACAGACGACCAUGAGCACCUCUAUAAAAGCGGAAGAAGGGAAGGACAUGGAUAUUAAGAGCAUAGCACAUAGC